rnacentral:rRNA from 1 species
UGAAUACGAGACGCUAAGGCGUCGAAGUAGUGUAUGUCAUACUUCCAAGAAAAGCUUGCACUGUCAUAGAUAAAAAACGCCUGUACCAUAACCGACACAGGUGGGUAGGUAGAGUAUACUAAGGGGCGCGAGAUAACUCUCUCUAAGGAACUCGGCAAAAUAACUCCGUAACUUCGGGAGAAGGAGUGCCUUAUUCGUAAGGUUGCAAUAACAAGAUCCAAGCAACUGUUUAUCAAAAACACAGGUCUCCGCUAAGUCGUAAGACGAUGUAUGGGGGCUGACGCCUGCCCAGUGCCAGAAGGUUAAAGAAGUUGGUUAGCAAUUGCGAAGCUGAUAACUGAAGCCCUGGUGAACGGCGGCCGUAACAAUAACGGUCCUAAGGUAGCGAAAUUCCUUGUCGGGUAAGUUCCGACCCGCACGAAAGGCGUAAUGAUUUGGAUACUGUCUCGGAGAGGGGCUCGGUGAAAUAGACUUGUCUGUGAAGAUGCGGACUACCUGCACCAUGACAGAAAGACCCUAUGAAGCUUUACUGUAACUUGAAAUUGAAAUUGGACUUUAUUCGCGCAGUAUAGGUGGGAGGCGUUGAUUAUAAUCUUGUGGGAUUAUUGGAGCCAUCAGUGAGAUACCACUCUUGUAAUGUUAGAUUUCUAACUUUGAAUCAUUAUCUGGUCAAAGAACAGUUUCAGGCGGGCAGUUUGACUGGGGCGGUCGCCUCCUAAACGGUAACGGAGGCGUACAAAGGUUUCCUCUGAACGGUUAGAAAUCGUAUCUAGAGUGUAAAGGCAUAAGGAAGCUUGACUGUGAGACCUACAAGUCGAGCAGGGACGAAAGUCGGUCUUAGUGAUCUGACGGUACUGAGUGGAAAGGCCGUCACUCAACGGAUAAAAGUUACUCUAAGGAUAACAGGCUGAUCUCCCCCAAGAGUUCACAUCGACGGGGAGGUUUGGCACCUCGAUGUCGGCUCAUCGCAUCCUGGGGCGGUAGUACGUCCCAAGGGUUGGGCUGUUCGCCCAUGAAAGCGGUACGCGAGCUGGGUUCAGAACGUCGUGAGACAGUUCGGUCCAUAUCCGGUGUAGGCGUUAGAAUAUUGAGAGGAGCCUUCUUUAGUACGAGAGGACCGAGAAGGACAUACCUCUGGUGUACCAGUUAUCGUGCCAACGGUAAACGCUGGGUAGCUAUGUAUGGAGUGGAUAACCGCUGAAAGCAUCUAAGUGGGAAGCCCACCUCAAGAUAAGUAUUCUCU